UGCGUAGGCGGCGUCAUAAGUCAGAGGUGAAAUCCCACAGCUCAACUGUGGAACUGCCUUUGAUACUGGUUGUCUUGAGUUAUAGUGAAGUAGAUAGAAUAUGUAGUGUAGCGGUGAAAUGCAUAGAUAUUACAUAGAAUACCGAUUGCGAAGGCAGUCUACUAACUGUAUACUGACGCUAAUGGACGAAAGCGUGGGGAGCGAACAGGAUUAGAUACCCUGGUAGUCC
rnacentral:rRNA from 1 species